rnacentral:rRNA from 1 species
AGUGAACGCUGGCGGUAGGCCUAACACAUGCAAGUCGAACGGCAGCACAGUAAGAGCUUGCUCUUACGGGUGGCGAGUGGCGGACGGGUGAGGAAUACAUCGGAAUCUACUUUUUCGUGGGGGAUAACGUAGGGAAACUUACGCUAAUACCGCAUACGACCUACGGGUGAAAGCAGGGGAUCUUCGGACCUUGAGCGAUUGAAUGAGCCGAUGUCGGAUUAGCUAGUUGGCGGGGUAAAGGCCCACCAAGGCGACGAUCCGUAGCUGGUCUGAGAGGAUGAUCAGCCACACUGGAACUGAGACACGGUCCAGACUCCUACGGGAGGCAGUAGUGGGGAAUAUUGGACAAUGGGCGCAAGCCUGAUCCAGCCAUACCGCGUGGGUGAAGAAGGCCUUCGGGUUGUAAAGCCCUUUUGUUGGGAAAGAAAAGCAGCAGGUUAAUACCCCGCUGUUCUGACGGUACCCAAAGAAUAAGCACCGGCUAACUUCGUG